UCCGAGUUGACCCCGGCAGUCUCCCAUGAGUCCCCAACCAAAUGCUGGCAACAUGGAACGAGGGUUGCGCUCGUUGCGGGACUUAACCCAACAUCUCACGACGCGAGCUGACGACAGCCAUGCACCACCUGUGAUCGCGCCCCGAAGGGAAGGUAUGUUUCCACACCGGUCGCGAACAUGUCAAGCCCAGGUAAGGUUCUUCGCGUUGCGUCGAAUUAAACCACAUGCUCCGCUGCUUGUGCGGGCCCCCGUCAAUUCCUUUGAGUUUUAGCCUUGCGGCCGUACUCCCCAGGCGGGGCACUUAGUGCGUUAGCUGCGGCACGGAAGGAGUCGACACCUCCCACACCUAGUGCCCAUCGUUUACGGCGUGGACUAC
rnacentral:misc_RNA from 1 species